ACGAAUUCCUUCCUGUCACCAAUGUAACCGAUGGAAAAAUCAAUGUGAGUGAUCUUCCAUCUGUCCUGAAGUGCAUUGGGAGUAAUAUAAGUGAAGAAAAAAUUAAAGAAACGUUGAAAUCUCUUGAUAUUGAUGAAAAUGGAAAAGUGAAUCUCAAAGAUUUUGUCAAUGAAGUACCCAUAGAUGAAUUGUCUCGUAAGCUCCAACAAACUCAAAAUGUGUGUAAUGUUGUCAACAAUAUCACUGAUGGAAAAAUCAAUAUUGAUGAUCUGGAACCUGCCCUGAAAUGCUUAGGGAUUGAGUUAAAGGAGGAAGAGAUAAAAGAAACACUCAAAUCUUUUCAGCCUGAUGAAGAAGGAAAUGUGGAUUUUAAGGACAUUGUUAAGAAAGCAAUUGAAGAGCUUAACUUGGAAAAGA